AGAGGGAUUGCUGGGUCAAAUGGUGGUUCAAUACCAAGAUUUCCAAGGAAUCUCUAUAUUGCUUUCUAUAUUGGAUGCACCAAUUUGCAGUCCCACCAGCAAU
rnacentral:pre_miRNA from 1 species